GUUGUAAGGAACAGGAACACGAACAGGAGAAGGGGAAGGAGAAGUCUGCGACCUCCUUCAUCAUAACAAUGAGGACCCCCGCAAGCUUAAAGAACAGUGCCCCACCUCCCGUCUGGAGCCUUCUGGACUUACUAUUGAAUAAUACAACUUCAGAUCUAUGCCGGUUUAAAGCAUCUCUCAUCUGGUUUCCAGUCAAAAUCUGGCAUCAAAUCAAAAUCUGGCAAUGGAAGAACUGGACCUGUCUAUUGUAGGACCUAACUCAACCUAACUCAAAGCAG